UACAGAGGGUGCAAGCGUUAGUCGGAAUUACUGGGCGUAAAGCGUGCGUAGACGGUCAUGUAAGUCGGGUGUGAAAGCCCCGGGCUCAACCUGGGAAUUGCAUUCGAGACUGCAUGGCUAGGAUGCGGAAGAGGGAAGCGGAAUUUCCGGUGUAGCGGUGAAAUGCGUAGAUAUCGGAAGGAACACCAGUGGCGAAAGCGGCUUCCUGGUCCAGCAUCGACGUUCAGGCACGAAAGCGUGGGGAGCAAACAGG
rnacentral:rRNA from 1 species